rnacentral:piRNA from 1 species
UCAUUUGCUGCCACGAUUUUAAUUCGCUC